AGUCACACGGUAGUUUGACUCCUGGGCUCAGGACGAACGCUGGCGGCGUGCCUAACACAUGCAAGUCGAGCGAAUGAAGUUCCUUCGGGAACGGAUUUAGCGGCGGACGGGUGAGUAACACGUGGGCAACCUGCCUCAUAGAGGGGAAUAGCCUUCCGAAAGGGAGAUUAAUACCGCAUAAGAUUGUAGUACCGCAUGGUACAGCAAUUAAAGGAGCAAUCCGCUAUGAGAUGGGCCCGCGGCGCAUUAGCUAGUUGGUGAGGUAACGGCUCACCAAGGCGACGAUGCGUAGCCGACCUGAGAGGGUGAUCGGCCACAUUGGGACUGAGACACGGCCCAGACUCCUACGGGAGGCAGCAGUGGGGAAUAUUGCACAAUGGGGGAAACCCUGAUGCAGCAACGCCGCGUGAGUGAUGACGGCCUUCGGGUUGUAAAGCUCUGUCUUCAGGGACGAUAAUGACGGUACCUGAGGAGGAAGCCACGGCUAACUACGUG
rnacentral:rRNA from 1 species